UACGGAGGGUGCAAGCGUUAAUCGGAAUUACUGGGCGUAAAGCGCACGCAGGUGGUCAAUUAAGUCAGAUGUGAAAGCCCCGAGCUUAACUUGGGAAUUGCAUUUGAAACUGGUGGGCUAGAGUCUUGUAGAGGGGGGUAGAAUUCCAGGUGUAGCGGUGAAAUGCGUAGAGAUGUGGAGGAACACCAGUGGCGAAGGCGGCUCUCUGGGCUGUAACUGACGCUGAGGCUCGAAAGCGUGGGGAGCAAACAGG
rnacentral:rRNA from 1 species